rnacentral:snRNA from 1 species
AGCUUUGCACAGUGGCAGUAUUGUAGCCAAUGAGGUUUAUCCGAGGAGCGAUUAUUGCUGAGUUGA